rnacentral:rRNA from 1 species
AGAGUUUGAUCAUGGCUCAGGACGAACGCUGGCGGCGGGCUUAACACAUGCAAGUCGAACGAAGCCUUCGGGCUUAGUGGCGCACGGGUGAGUAACGCGUAGGCAAUCUACCUUCAGCUGGGGAAUAACCAGGGGAAACCCUGGCUAAUACCGCAUAACGUCUCGGGGUCGCAUGGCUCCUUGACCAAAGCUCCGGCGGCUGAAGAUGAGCCUGCGUCAGAUUAGCUAGUUGGUAGGGUAACGGCCUACCAAGGCUACGAUCUGUAGCGGGUCUGAGAGGAUGAUCCGCCACACUGGCACUGAGACACGGGCCAGACUCCUACGGGAGGCAGCAGUGAGGAAUAUUGCGCAAUGGGCGAAAGCCUGACGCAGCCACGCCGCGUGCAGGAAGACACCCCUCUGGGGCGUAAACUGCUUUUGUGCGAGAAGAAGGCGCUCCUCGGGAGCGAUUGACGGUAUCGCACGAAUAAGGACCGGCUAACUCCGUGCCAGCAGCCGCGGUAAUACGGAGGGUCCAAGCGUUGUCCGGAAUCACUGGGUGUAAAGGGUGCGUAGGCGGAUUUGUAAGUCAGAGGUGAAAGCCCACGGCUUAACCGUGGAACUGCCUUUGAUACUGCAAGUCUUGAGUCCUGGAGGGGCUGGCGGAAUUCGUGGUGUAGCGGUGAAAUGCGUAGAUAUCACGAGGAACACCGGAGGUGUAGACGGCCAGCUGGACAGGUACUGACGCUGAGGCACGAAAGCGUGGGGAGCGAACAGGAUUAGAUACCCUAGUAGUCC